rnacentral:rRNA from 1 species
GAUGAACGCUGGCGGCGUGCCUAAUACAUGCAAGUCGAGCGAACGGACGAGAAGCUUGCUUCUCUGAUGUUAGCGGCGGACGGGUGAGUAACACGUGGAUAACCUACCUAUAAGACUGGGAUAACUUCGGGAAACCGGAGCUAGUACCGGAUAAUAUUUUGAACCGCAUGGUUCAAAAGUGAAAGACGGUCUUGCUGUCACUUAUAGAUGGAUCCGCGCUGCAUUAGCUAGUUGGUAAGGUAACGGCUUACCAAGGCAACGAUGCAUAGCCGACCUGAGAGGGUGAUCGGCCACACUGGAACUGAGACACGGUCCAGACUCCUACGGGAGGCAGCAGUAGGGAAUCUUCCGCAAUGGGCGAAAGCCUGACGGAGCAACGCCGCGUGAGUGAUGAAGGUCUUCGGAUCGUAAAACUCUGUUAUUAGGGAAGGACAUAUGUGUAAGUAACUGUGCACAUCUUGACGGUACCUAAUCAGAAAGCCACGGCUAACUACGUG